UGGAGAGUAAAGAAGGGAGAAAGGGGCUGCUCAGCCAAUAGCCGAGUGGAAGGGAGAAAGGAAUUGAGAUGUUCUAUUUCCUCGCAAGGGAAAGGAGCAUUUCUCUCUAGCUUUUCUGCCACAGAAGGAUAGAAUCGUAGAGUUGGAAGGGACCCAAGGGUCAGUGUGGUGUAGUGGUUAAGAGCAGUGGACUCGUAAUCUGGUGAACCGGGUUCGCUUCCCUGCUCCUCCACAUGCAGCUGCUGGGUGACCUUGGGCUAGUCACACUUCUCUGAAGUCUCUCAGCCCCACUCACCUCACAGAGUGUUUGUUGUGGGGGAGGAAGGGAAAGGAGAAUGUUAGAAUGUUAGCCACUUUGAGACUCCUUCGGGUAGUGAUAAAGCGGGAUAUCAAAUCCAAACUCUUCUUCUUCAUCAUCUAGUCCAACCCCAAUGAAAUGCAGGAAUCUCAGCUAAAGCAUCCAAGAGAGAUGGCCCCCCAACCUUUGCUUAAAAGCCUCCAAGGUUUCCCAGACAGCUAGGUCCAGUGGUCAGGGACGAUGGGAAUUGUAGUCCAACAACUUCUGGGGGCACAAGGUUGGGAAAGACUGGAAACUGAACAGCAGUAGCUUUCCGGGAAGUUGGAAUGCAGCAUUUAUCCAGAUGGUUCUGGGGUUCCCCACUCCUCUCAUAAAGCUUGAAAACUUGUGCCUCCUUUUCUUCCUCUUCCUAAUUUACCGUAUUUUUCGCUCCAUAAGAUGCACUUUUUUCCUCCUAAAAAGUUAGGGGAAAUGUCUGUGCGUCUUAUGGAGUGAGUGUGUGGUCGAUCGCUGGCUCCCUUUCCGGCCCCGGCCCCUUGCCCAGGCCUCCAUUGCUGAAUGUUCUGCAGAAGGAGGCUGAUUGUUUUCCCAGUGACAUGUGACUGGCUGAUUAGAUUAUCUGUCUGGAAACUGUAGAAAUGGCUCCCUUUCCUUUCCUAAAGAAGCUGCAGAAAUGAUUUGCCUUUUUCAAACCACAGACCAGACGGCAAUGCUAUGAAGCCAACGGUGCUUGCAAACUUUUCAAGUGCCCCUCUCCCAUGCUUCAGAUCGGGAAAUGUGGAAUCCUGAGGAAAUGUUGCAAAAGCCCAAUGUGAUAGAAGACUAAUUGAUGCCUGCUGACCCAGGAUCCUUUGAAAAAUGGGAGGUGUUCCCUCGACUUUGAGAGCUACUGGAUCCUGCAUCACCCCCCCAGCUGGAGAUCCCGUCCGUUUAUUCACCAGAGAAUCUGGCUCAAAAUGAAGGGGCUUUUGCAACAUUUACAAUGAGAACAUGAGCUUGUUCCCUUGCAAUAAAAGCAAAUUCAAGA